AGUUCGGAUCGCAGGCUGCAACCCGCCUGCGUGAAGUCGGAAUCGCUAGUAAUCGCGGAUCAGCAUGCCGCGGUGAAUACGUUCCCGGGCCUUGUACACACCGCCCGUCACACCAUGAGAGUCGGGAACACCCGAAGUCCGUAGCCUAACCGCAAGGAGGGCGCGGCCGAAGGUGGGUUCGAUAAUUGGGGUGAAGUCGUAACAAGGUACC
rnacentral:rRNA from 1 species